rnacentral:rRNA from 1 species
AGCACCGGCUAACUACGUGCCAGCAGCCGCGGUAAUACGUAGGGUGCAAGCGUUAUCCGGAAUUAUUGGGCGUAAAGGGCUCGUAGGCGGUUCGUCGCGUCCGGUGUGAAAGUCCAUCGCUUAACGGUGGAUCCGCGCCGGGUACGGGCGGGCUUGAGUGCGGUAGGGGAGACUGGAAUUCCCGGUGUAACGGUGGAAUGUGUAGAUAUCGGGAAGAACACCAAUGGCGAAGGCAGGUCUCUGGGCCGUUACUGACGCUGAGGAGCGAAAGCGUGGGGAGCGAACAGGAUUAGAUACCCUGGUAGUCCACGCCGUAAACGGUGGAUGCUGGAUGUGGGGCCCAUUCCACGGGUUCCGUGUCGGAGCUAACGCGUUAAGCAUCCCGCCUGGGGAGUACGGCCGCAAGGCUAAAACUCAAAGAAAUUGACGGGGGCCCGCACAAGCGGCGGAGCAUGCGGAUUAAUUCGAUGCAACGCGAAGAACCUUACCUGGGCUUGACAUGUUCCCGACGGUCGUAGAGAUAGGGCUUCCCUUCGGGGCGGGUUCACAGGUGGUGCAUGGUCGUCGUCAGCUCGUGUCGUGAGAUGUUGGGUUAAGUCCCGCAACGAGCGCAACCCUCGCCCCGUGUUGCCAGCGGAUUAUGGCGGGAACUCACGGGGGACCGCCGGGGUUAACUCGGAGGAAGGUGGGGAUGACGUCAGAUCAUCAUGCCCCUUACGUCCAGGGCUUCACGCAUGCUACAAUGGCCGGUACAACGGGAUGCGACAUGGCGACAUGGAGCGGAUCCCUGAAAACCGGUCUCAGUUCGGAUUGGAGUCUGCAACCCGACUCCAUGAAGGCGGAGUCGCUAGUAAUCGCGAAUCAGCAACGUCGCGGUGAAUGCGUUCCCGGGCCUUGUACACACCGCCCGUCAAGUCAUGAAAGUGGGUAGCACCCGAAGCCGGUGGCCCAACCAGUUCGCUGGGGGGAGCCGUCUAAGGUGAGACUCGUGAUUGGGACUAAGUCGUAACAAGGUAGCCGUACCGGAAGGUGCGGCUG